rnacentral:rRNA from 1 species
UGCUAAGUCGCACGAGUUUAGACUCGUGGCAUAUAGCUCAGUAACACGUGGCCAAACUACCCUACAGACCGCAAUAACCUCGGGAAACUGAGGCCAAUAGCGGAUAUAACUCUCAGGCUGGAGUGCCGAGAGUUAGAAACGUUCCGGCGCUGUAGGAUGUGGCUGCGGCCGAUUAGGUAGAUGGUGGGGUAACGGCCCACCAUGCCGAUAAUCGGUACAGGUUGUGAGAGCAAGAGCCUGGAGACGGUAUCUGAGACAAGAUACCGGGCCCUACGGGGCGCAGCAGGCGCGAAACCUUUACACUGCACGACAGUGCGAUAGGGGGACUCCGAGUGUGAGGGCAUAUAGCCCUCGCUUUUCUGCACCGUAAGGUGGUGCAAGAAUAAGGACUGGGCAAGACCGGUGCCAGCCGCCGCGGUAAUACCGGCAGUCCAAGUGAUGGCCGAUAUUAUUGGGCCUAAAGCGUCCGUAGCUUGCUGUGUAAGUCCAUUGGGAAAUCGACCAGCUCAACUGGUCGGCGUCCGGUGGAAACUACACAGCUUGGGGCCGAGAGACUCAACGGGUACGUCCGGGGUAGGAGU